rnacentral:rRNA from 1 species
GACGAACGCUGGCGGCGUGCUUAACACAUGCAAGUCGAACGGUAAAGCCCUUCGGGGUACACGAGUGGCGAACGGGUGAGUAACACGUGGGUGAUCUGCCCUGCACUUCGGGAUAAGCCUGGGAAACUGGGUCUAAUACCGGAUAGGACCACUGCCUGCAUGGGUGGUGGUGGAAAGCUUUUGCGGUGUGGGAUGGGCCCGCGGCCUAUCAGCUGGUUGGUGGGGUGAUGGCCUACCAAGGCGACGACGGGUAGCCGGCCUGGGAGGGUGACCGGCCACGCUGGGGCUGAGAUACGGCCCAGACUCCUACGGGGGGCAGCAGUGGGGAAUAGUGCACAAUGGGCGCCAGCCUGAUGCAGCGACGCCGCGUGAGGGAUGACGGCCUUCGGGUUGUAAACCUCUUUCAGCACCGACGAAGCGCAAGUGACGGUAGGUGCAGAAGAAGGACCGGCCAACUACGUGCCAGCCGCCGCCGUAA